UAUUUGUUUACCACUUAGAACACAGGAUGUC
rnacentral:piRNA from 1 species